CUACGGGAGGCAGCAGUGGGGAAUAUUGGACAAUGGGCGCAAGCCUGAUCCAGCCAUGCCGCGUGAGUGAUGACGGCCCUAGGGUUGUAAAGCUCUUUCGCCAGGGACGAUAAUGACGGUACCUGGAUAAGAAGCUCCGGCUAACUUCGUGCCAGCAGCCGCGGUAAUACGAAGGGGGCUAGCGUUGUUCGGAUUUACUGGGCGUAAAGCGCGUGUAGGCGGGUCGUUAAGUUGGGGGUGAAAUCCCGGGGCUCAACCUCGGAACUGCCUUUGAUACUGGGGAUCUCGAGUUCGGGAGAGGUGAGUGGAACUGCGAGUGUAGAGGUGAAAUUCGUAGAUAUUCGCAAGAACACCAGUGGCGAAGGCGGCUCACUGGCCCGAUACUGACGCUGAGGUGCGAAAGCGUGGGGAGCAAACAGGAUUAGAAACCCUUGUAGUCC
rnacentral:rRNA from 1 species